rnacentral:rRNA from 1 species
AGAUUGAACGCUGGCGGCAUGCCUUACACAUGCAAGUCGAACGGUAACGCGGGGCAACCUGGCGACGAGUGGCGAACGGGUGAGUAAUGCAUCGGAACGUGCCCAGUAGUGGGGGAUAGCCCGGCGAAAGCCGGAUUAAUACCGCAUAUGACCUACGGGUGAAAGCGGGGGACUCGCAAGAGCCUCGCGCUAUUGGAGCGGCCGAUGUCAGAUUAGCUAGUUGGUGGGUAAAAGCCUACCAAGGCGACGAUCUGUAGCUGGUCUGAGAGGACGACCAGCCACACUGGGACUGAGACACGGCCCAGACUCCUACGGGAGGCAGCAGUGGGAAUUUUGGACAAUGGCGCAAGCCUGAUCCAGCCAUGCCGCGUGCGGGAAGAACGGUCCGUUCGGGUUCGUAAACCCGGUCGUUUUAGGUCCGUAGGGAACGAAACCGGCUUCCGUGGGACUUAAUACCGUUGGGUAAUGACGGUACC